CCCAGUUUUCCUUUGCGUGCAGCACAAAAAAAGGGGACAUAAAAAGCUGUCUGAAAAAAAGCUGUACCAAGUGACGAAUGGGGUUCGAAUAACCGAAUUGCUAGCUGUAUACGUGUACGGCAAACCCCACGCCAACUAGAUGGAAUAAAGUUAGAUUUGAUCAAAACGACGCCGGCGGAUUCGCAUCCUGGGAAACAUCCUUCUGUUAGGUGGGUACGCCCCCAUGUUUUCCUUUGCCGUUGGCGGUGUGCCGCCGCGCUAAUUAACUCGGUGUGGCUAAGAAGUUUUGGUCGAAUCGUAUCGACGUGUUGUACACUUUAUAAGGUCGGAGACUAAGUUACAUCAUUUUCAACGAAUCUAGUAUACCCUUUUACUCUACGAGUAACGUGUUUAACUACGUGUUGUGAACUUAUAACUUGGACAAAAUGGGUGUUGGUUGCAGUGAUCUGUAAUCCUUGCACUUCAGAUUCUACUUUUUGGUUUUGUUGGUGUCCAGCCCCAUUGAUACUGCUGCCGCCUGUCAUCUGAAUCAUCGAGUACAGAAUAUCCUUAAAGUCUAUCUAUUGGCAAUAGAAUUAAGAUUUUGGACAAUAUAACAUCCUUUGUUAUGGGUAUUGAACUGAAGGCUGAAGGUGGAUGAAGUCAAAUAAGUCAGU